GAAAUGCGAUAAGUAAUGUGAAUUGCAGAAUUCAGUGAAUCAUCGAAUCUUUGAACGCACCUUGCGCUCCUUGGUAUUCCGAGGAGCAUGCCUGUUUGAGUGUCAUGGAAUUCUCAACUCUAUUUGCUUUUGUGAAUAGAGCUUGGACUUGGAGGUUUAUUGCUGGUACUUGUGAUCGGCUCCUCUUGAAUGCAUUAGCUCGAACCUUUGCGGAUCAGCUAUCGGUGUGAUAAUUGUCUACGCCGUUGCAGUGAAGCAUAUCAAUGGGCUCGGCUUCCAAUCGUCCUUUACUGGACAAUGACUUUGACCUUUGACCUCAAAUCAGGUAGGAUUACCCGCUGAACUUAAGC
rnacentral:misc_RNA from 1 species